GGGGUUAUGAGGGGAGAAGCUUGGGCACUGGUCUGAAGCCGCCUCCUCCCCCUUUCUGUCUUCCGCUGCAGCAGAGGCCCCUGCACCUCUGUUCCCACAGGGAUCCGUGAGCUGGAGCCUGCAAUGACCUGCUGCAGGUCCAGUACAAUGUUAUGAGAGGUGGGCGUCCAAGGAAAAAUCUCCCAGUGCUCCUUAAGCACGCGAGUGAGUGUACUGGACGUGAAUCUGCCAGCCUCAUCCAUACCUUCAGAUGACUGCAGCCCAGCCAACAGCUCAAUGCAACUGCUUGUGGAAAGCAGAUUGACUACUGAUAUAGGUUACAUGAAUGAACCUCAAAAACAUGUCAAAUGAAGGAAGCCAGAUGAAAGAGACUCCUUAUUGUUUAAUUCCACUUACAUUACAUGUGAUUUUUGGAAAGAGAAUCAGAUGGCAAGUGGCAUGGAUGGGCAUACCUCUUGUUCCCUUCCCUCCCUUCAGACUUGUACCACUCCAAGAAAGAAUGGGAAGAACUACUUGUAAACAACAAUUACUUGGCAACAAUAAGGCAGAAGGGGAUUCAUGGGCAGCUGAGAAGCAGCAGGUUCUGCAGCAUUUGCUGGAAGAAAACUGCCCACCCAAGAUCAUUAGCAUCGGUCAACGCUGUGGAGUGAAGACGGCACAAGGUGCUCAGCCCCAGUUGCUGUCCCGCAGGAUGUGACAACUGUAAUGCUGAUUCCUGAUGGAAAUUACCCGACAGUGUACUGGAGGAGGUGUAGGAGCUCUUUCUGUGGAAAGAUAAAGAACUUCGAUCAACGAUUGAACAAGAUGUCAAAAGAUCAUAUGCAGAAUUGUUUACAAGUUACUUCUAAUAAUUCAAGCCAUUCGUUUGUGUAAGCAGCCUCUUCUCUCCAUCUGCUCAGUACUUCCAUCAUGAAAGAAAAGUUCCUUUAGCACGUAGGUAAUGUCCAUAGCUAUUAGAUAUUGGACUUCAACAUUCUUGGUCAUCCAGUGGAAGCCCAUGUGAUCUGUGCCAGAAGAUGCUAAAGUGGCUUCUAGCUAAUUUACUCUACAACAUCUUUCCUCCUCAGUUUCGUCUGAUGGAUAUGAAAUGAAGGCAAGAGUGACCACCUCUCAAGACUUUCAUAGAGUAAAAAGCAUGUGCAGAUCAACUAGCACUGGGUGACAAGAAUUUAUUGUCAAAGCUAUCAGAAUACUGAUGAGGUGCAUGUGGCUGAAGUUUCUCCUCCUGUAUGGCUCAAGUUUCUGAUGGCUUGGGAAACUCCAGCUCCUCUUUGUCCCAUGACUCCACACUGCAGUCUCCUAAGUUGCUAAAAAUUUCUGCAAAGAUGAAACAGAAUCCAACAUCUUCU